GUAGUCUCGCACAGAUGCAUAUCAAUAAGCGGAGGAAAAGAAACUAACAAGGAUUCCCCUAGUAACGGCGAGUGAAGCGGGAAGAGCUCAAAUUUGAAAUCUUAAAGGGUUUCCCUUUACGAAUUGUAGUUUAAAGAAGUGUUUUCUGUUGAGGUUUUGGUAAAAGUUCUUUGGAAUAGGACAUCAUAGAGGGUGAGAAUCCCGUAUUUGACCUUUACUUUCAACUUUGUGAUACACUUUCAAAGAGUCGGAUUGUUUGGGAAUGCAGUCCAAAAUGGGUGGCUAAAUUUCAUCUAAAGCUAAAUAUUGGCGAGAGACCGAUAGCGAACAAGUACCGUGAGGGAAAGAUGAAAAGAACUUUGAAAAGAGAGUUAAACAGUACGUGAAAUUGUCAAAAGGGAAGCGUUUGACACCAGUGUUGUUUUUCUGAAAAUCAAUUAAAGAACUGUUUAUGCUAAGUUGUUUAGACUUUAUCAGCUAUCUGUUUAGUUUUGAGCUUUUCUUUAAUGCACUUUUCAGUUAACAAGUCAACAUCAAUUUCUUUUGCUGUAAAAAAGCUUGAGGAAGGUGGCUUGAGAUUCGUCUUAAGUGUUUAUAGCCUCUUGCCUAUGCAGUCGGAGAGAUUGAGGUCUGCAGCGUAGAUCCUUCGGGGCUAAAUGCAUUUGUGCUAAGUUAUAGCAUUUCAUAGACAACUUGUUGACUAUGAUUUGUCUUGUAGCUUACUCGCUUAUGUUAUUUUACCUACGCUUAGGAUGUUGACAGCAGUAUAGACUGU
rnacentral:rRNA from 1 species